rnacentral:rRNA from 1 species
CCUACGGGGGGCAGCAGUGAGGAAUAUUGGUCAAUGGACGAGAGUCUGAACCAGCCAAGUAGCGUGAAGGAUGACUGCCCUAUGGGUUGUAAACUUCUUUUAUAAAGGAAUAAAACGAGGCACGUGUGCCUUUUUGCAUGUACUUUAUGAAUAAGGAUCGGCUAACUCCGUGCCAGCAGCCGCGGUAAUACGGAGGAUCCGAGCGUUAUCCGGAUUUAUUGGGUUUAAAGGGAGCGUAGAUGGGUUGUUAAGUCAGUUGUGAAAGUUUGCGGCUCAACCGUAAAAUUGCAAUUGAUACUGGUAGUGUUGAGGACAUUUGAGGUAGGUGGAACUGGUGUGGUGGCGGU